rnacentral:rRNA from 1 species
CUGCUGCCUCCCGUAGGAGUCUGGUCCGUGUCUCAGUACCAGUGUGGGGGACCUUCCUCUCAGAACCCCUACGCA